rnacentral:rRNA from 1 species
AUGCACGCUGGCGGCGUGCCUAAUCCCUGCCAGUCGCGCGAACAGACGAGGAGCUUGCUCCUCUGACGUUAGCGGCGGACGGGUGAGUAACACGUGGAUAACCUACCUAUAAGACCGGGAUAACUUCGGGAAACCGGAGCUAAUACCGGAUAAUAUAUUGAACCGCAUGGUUCAAUAGUGAAAGACGGUUUUGCUGUCACUUAUAGAUGGAUCCGCGCCGCAUUAGCUAGUUGGUAAGGUAACGGCUUGCCAAGGCAACGAUGCGUAGCCGACCUGAGAGGGUGAUCGGCCACACUGGAACUGAGACACGGUCCAGACUCCUACGGGAGGCAGCAGUAGGGAAUCUUCCGCAAUGGGCGAAAGCCUGACGGAGCAACGCCGCGUGAGUGAUGAAGGUCUUCGGAUCGUAAAACUCUGUUAUUAGGGAAGAACAAAUGUGUAAGUAACUAUGCACGUCUUGACGGUACCUAAUCAGAAAGCCACGGCUAACUACGUG